rnacentral:lncRNA from 1 species
CCAACAGACACACCUAGUCCUUCAAAGCCACACCUCCACAGAGACCCUUCCUUCUCUGGAGGUAGUUUAAGGUGGUAAUCUGAUAUCACUUCAGGACUUAAACAGAACAGGGUUGGGAGGGUUGUGCGUGGAGGCAGAGAUUCCUUGAUUUGAAUCUAAGCGGGGCUUUUGUGAUGGCUUUGGUGCUUUCUGCAGAACUUUUUUUGUUGUUGUUGUUGUUUAACCAGAACAGUUCCAUAGGCAUUACUUAUGGUCAAAUCAAUGGUUUUUCCAGCAAGGGCUCAUUAAUCAGUUGCUAAGCCGCCACAAAUUACAAGGGAGAAGGAAAACAUCUCCACAGAGAGGGAAAAGAUGCUGAGGAGGCCAGAAGAGGGCAUUGGAUCCCCCUGGAGCUGGAAUUACAAACGAUUCAUUGUGAGUCCAUCUGAAGGGGUACUUGGAAUGCAACAGUCCCUCUGUGAAAUCAGCCCACGUUCCUAACUGCUGAGCCAUCUCUCCAGCCUCCAUGUGUUUAUUUAUGUGACCUCGUCAUCAGAAUCGCCUUAACCGUCUGUUAUUAUCAACAUUCUGUCCGUAUUACUUAUGUAUUCUCCAAGAAGAUGCAAGAUCUCAGCUGGGUGUGAGGACUCAUGCUUGUAAGCCCAACACUUGGAAGACAGAGGCAGGAGACUCAGAAGUUCAAGGUCAAGGUUGACCUGGCCUAGAGGAGCUCCUGUUUCAAAAAUCAAAAAUAAACAACAAAACU